rnacentral:lncRNA from 1 species
ACAGAACUUUGUAUCAGAACUGUUGGUGAGGGACUGUAACAAGUAAAUAUACUUGUUACAUUGUUUGAGCUACAAAGUGUAAAUAUCACAUGGAGUCUUAAUUGCAAUUAAUACCAAGCUUUAUAUCCAGAAUUCCUUCGUGAUUCUUUGGCAGUUUAACAUUAUUUAUGGAUAAUGUCCUAUCAACAUGACUCUCCAAAUAGCCUAAAUACAUUUAUACAAGAUUUCAUUUCUGAUCAAAUUUUGUAGUGGAUGGAAGAUUUAUUUGAUUUGCCUGUAUAAAGGGGAUUUUGU